rnacentral:rRNA from 1 species
GAUGAACGCUGGCGGCGUGCCUAAUACAUGCAAGUCGAGCGAACGGACGAGAAGCUUGCUUCUCUGAUGUUAGCGGCGGACGGGUGAGUAACACGUGGAUAACCUACCUAUAAGACUGGGAUAACUUCGGGAAACCGGAACUAAUACCGGGUAAUAUUUUGAACCGCAUUGUUCAAAAGUGAAAAACGGUCUUGCUGUCACUUAUAGAUGGAUCCGCGCUGCAUUAGCUAGUUGGUAAGGUAACGGCUUACCAAGGCAACGAUGCAUAGCCGACCUGAGAGGGUGAUCGGCCACACUGGAACUGAGACACGGUCCAGACUCCUACGGGAGGCAGCAGUAGGGAAUCUUCCGCAAUGGGCGAAAGCCUGACGGAGCAACGCCGCGUGAGUGAUGAAGGUCUUCGGAUCGUAAAACUCUGUUAUUAGGGAAGAACAUAUGUGUAAGUAACUGUGCACAUCUUGACGGUACCUAAUCAGAAAGCCACGGCUAACUACGUG